UAUAAUACUAGAAGUGCAUUUAAUGUUCAAAAUAUGAACUGUAGAACUACCUUUUAUCAAAAUUCUUUCCUACCAUCUGUUAUUCGUGAUUGGAACAGGCUUCCACAAGAUGUUAGAUGUAAUCAUUCAAAAUUUACACUUAAAAAUUAUAUAAAUCGAGAUACUAAGAAAGUCCCCACAUAUUAUAAUGCUGGUUGUAGAAAAGGCCAAAUACUUCACGCCAGACUCCAGUUGAACUGCAGUGGCUUAAAUGAACACCUUUUCCAGAAAAAUAUUGUUCUUUCCAGCCUCUGUAUAUGUGGGCAAGUUGAGAGCAGCAAACACUAUUUGCUAGAAUGUCAUUAUUAUCGUCUCAUCAGAAC
rnacentral:lncRNA from 1 species